rnacentral:rRNA from 2 species
GACUCGUCACACUAUCAUUAACUGAAUCCAUAGGUUAAUGAGGCGAACCGGGGGAACUGAAACAUCUAAGUACCCCGAGGAAAAGAAAUCAACCGAGAUUCCCCCAGUAGCGGCGAGCGAACGGGGAGGAGCCCAGAGCCUGAAUCAGCAUGUGUGUUAGUGGAAGCGUCUGGAAAGGCGCGCGAUACAGGGUGACAGCCCCGUACACAAAAGCGCAUGUGCUGUGAGCUCGAUGAGUAGGGCGGGACACGUGGUAUCCUGUCUGAAUAUGGGGGGACCAUCCUCCAAGGCUAAAUACUCCUGACUGACCGAUAGUGAACCAGUACCGUGAGGGAAAGGCGAAAAGAACCCCGGCGAGGGGAGUGAAAAAGAACCUGAAACCGUGUACGUACAAGCAGUGGGAGCCCCACCACUAAGCCAGUGGUGAACUCCACAUACGCAUCCUUUGCUGAGGAUACGGUUAACGGAGCGAAAGCGACGUUCAACCGCAAAAGAAGCAGAGGGGGCUUAGUGGUGGGGUGACUGCGUACCUUUUGUAUAAUGGGUCAGCGACUUAUAUUCUGUAGCAAGGUUAACCGUAUAGGGGAGCCGGAGGGAAACCGAGUCUUAAUUGGGCGUUAAGUUGCAGGGUAUAGACCCGAAACCCGGUGAUCUAGCCAUGGGCAGGUUGAAGGUUGGGUAACACUAACUGGAGGACCGAACCGACUAAUGUUGAAAAAUUAGCGGAUGACCUGUGGCUGGGGGUGAAAGGCCAAUCAAACCGGGAGAUAGCUGGUUCUCCCCGAAAGCUAUUUAGGUAGCGCCUCGUGAAUUCAUCUCCGGGGGUAGAGCACUGUUUCGGCUAGGGGGCCAUCCCGGCUUACCAACCCGAUGCAAACUGCGAAUACCGGAGAAUGUUAUCACGGGAGACACACGGCGGGUGCUAACGUCCGUCGUGAAGAGGGAAACAACCCAGACCGCCAGCUAAGGUCCCAAAGUCAUGGUUAAGUGGGAAACGAUGUGGGAAGGCCCAGACAGCCAGGAUGUUGGCUUAGAAGCAGCCAUCAUUUAAAGAAAGCGUAAUAGCUCACUGGUCGAGUCGGCCUGCGCGGAAGAUGUAACGGGGCUAAACCAUG